rnacentral:sRNA from 1 species
AUAAAUGAUUGAGCUGAAAUGCUAUGUGUGAAAUGUUAAUCUGAAAAGAGUAUGCAGUUGAAUCAAUAUCUUCAUGUGUGUGCUGUUCUGGGAAUAGGAAAUAGUAAAAUGGAAGUCACACCUUCUCCCCUUCUGUGGAAAAACAACACAGUCCACCAUAUGAUGCAGAGAAGGUACAUCCACUGCUCUUAAAACUCUCACAUCUCCCGGGUGCAGACAAGGGUUUUUGGCAACUACUACCUUUCCCUUAACAAUAUGUUUGCUUUUGUUGGAUGCAUUUCUGUUAGAAGAAAGAGAGGACAUAGCAAGAUUUUGCUUAUUUCUUUGGUGAGCUAUCUGCACGAAUACCUCUCCAUAUUUUAGAGUUCUAGUUUCAUCCAAGCAUCCUAACAAUGCUCUUCCCUUCUUAACAAGUAUCCUAGUUUUGAGCUGCAAUUCCUGUAAUUUUGAUGCAUAUAAUGUUUGCAACAUCAUGGAGAGAAAUGGUUCCUUAAUUGGAUGAAAGCCACAAAUGAGCAUUUCCUUUAAAACCUUUGCAAUCUCUCCUGUGGACAUAUAAUCUAAUACCAUCAAGGGACUUCUUGAUAGCAUUUUAAGUUGAUUAAGGACCUCUCUUUGUUUCUUUCUGAAGACUCGGUCCUGGACCCCCAGGGUGGACAAGAGGGCUAUUAUUUGACGAUUAAGGUAACAAGGUUUGUAUUUGCUCCAUGCCAAAACAUCUAAUUUUGUGUUUUCUGACUUGUACUUGCACAUGCUCUUUCUUAAGGACAGUUUAGUUGAUGAGGUAGGAUCAACAGCAACAACACCUUUGUACCCUCCAUAUCUGAUUUGAAAUGCAGAUGGAGUAUUAUCCCCACAACCACAUUUCUCAGCCACUUCUUGAGCUAAUUCAUAAGAUAUCUUCCCAAUUCCAUCAGAGAAACAGUAUUUGGUUUCACCCCUUCUAAAUUCUAUAUCAGGAAUAAUUUUAAUUUCAUGUCUGCCAACGCUCACUGUUUCCCUGGAAGAACUGAAUGAUUGCCCCAGCCUUGCUGCAUAUUUGGCCACAUUUCUAAUUUCAUGAAACUCUCCCAUCCACUUUCUUAUAUCAGAUGCAGUAAGUCCAGUUCUUGAUGCAACCAUCCACACAGAGUUAUCCCGCAACUGACUUGCUUUGUUUCUCUGUCCAUGUCUGCAACCAAAUCUGAUGAAUGAAGUUUAUCCAUGUCUUCAUCAAGGAAAGAAACACGAAGAAAGUUAUC